rnacentral:lncRNA from 1 species
CCGACAAGUACAGCUCGCUCCUCCCGCCCCACCACCACCACUCGGACGCCGCGCCGCCCAAGGCCAGCAACCGGCGCCGCCAGCAGCGGCAGCUGCUAACGGGCAAGGCUGCCUGCUUCGACGCGGCGCUCGCCGCGCGCCUCCGGGCCCUGCUGCCGCUUCCGGGGCCGGCGUCGUCCUCCUCCCCGCUCGCGGCGCUCGCGCGGCUCGCCGAUCUCCUCGCGCUCACGCUCGCGGAGGCGGCGCAGGCGCUCGCCGGGGAGGGGGACGCGGCCGCCGUCGCCGCGCACCUGGACGCCGGCGUCGCGCUCCUCGACGCCUGCAACGCCAUCACCGCGCGCCUCGAGCGCCUCCGCCGCCGCCGCCUCCUCGCCCGCUUCGCGCUCCACCUGGUCGCGUCGUCGUCGACGGGCCGCGCGCGCGUGGCGCUCGCCGACCGCGACGACCGCAGCUCGGCGUCCCCUCCGCCCCCGCUCCCUUCCCUCCCGUUCGACCAGCCCCGCGGCCGC